rnacentral:rRNA from 1 species
UACAGAGGGCCCAAGCGUUGUUCGGAUUCAUUGGGCGUAAAGGGUGCGUAGGCGGCGCGGUAAGUCGGGUGUGAAAUCUCGGAGCUUAACUCCGAAACUGCAUUCGAUACUGCCGUGCUUGAGGACUGGAGAGGAGACUGGAAUUUACGGUGUAGCGGUGAAAUGCGUAGAUAUCGUAAGGAAGACCAGUGGCGAAGGCGGGGCUCUGGACAGUUCCUGACGCUGAGGCACGAAGGCCAGGGGAGCAAACGGG